GAGGUGGUGGAGUCAGUAUCCCUGCAGGUAUUCAUGAGCCAUAUGGCACUGAGAGAUAUGGUUAGUGGGCAUGGUAUGGAUGGGUUGAUGAUGUGGUCACAUGGAUUUUCUCCCUACUCCAUACUGUCUGUGAAUUUUUGGGGCCAUAUCUCAAUUCACCAUUACUCAUGGUGAGGCAGCUCUUUUUCCAGGGGAAAUGGAGGUUUUGAUGGAUUUUUGGACACAUGACAGGCCAAUGCAGACUUUGAGGAACACAUUCCUCUACAUGUCCUGCUCUCAGCCUGACCUGAAAGGGAAGAUGGCCCCUGAUGGCCAAUGCAAAACUGACUGGAGCCAACAGAAGUGAAUCUUCACCAACCUAGUGAAGACAGCUUUAAGCCACUUGAAGCAGCAGGCUGUCUGAGGUUUUCUGAUGUCCACGAACAAACAAACAUGGACUGCAGCUAGAAACUUGCAUGCGGUAGGAGAAAGCCAUCCUUGCUCACUUUAAGGAACCUACAGAGGUGGCCAAGGAUACCUCAGUGAAAUACUCAGAAGGUGAGAGGUUUAUGUGGGCAAUGAAGGCAAAAAAAGGAUACGUUGAUGGUUAUAGUGAUAGAGUAGAUGAUCUUGGAGGUUUUUUCCAACCUUAACAAUUCUAUGAUUCUGUAAACUUUUGGGAAAAAGAACUGCUAAAAGUUUCUUUUAUAAAACAGGGAUUAUUUUCCUCUUGGCCAAUUCCAUUAUCUUUCACGUACUUUCAAAAUAUCCCCCCACCCCAAAAUCUUAAUUAUUAAAAGAAAAGAUGUUCUUUGUUAGUGCUAAUUCAAAAUAGUACCAGAUUAUUUAAAACAGUUUAAAAGUAGGUAAACUCCUUCAAGUAAUUCAAUGACUGUAGGAAAAUGGAUUACAUAGGUGGUGAUUUACGGUGUGGUUUUCACAAGAUGGAAAUAAACCAACCAAAAUACUGUAAAAAAUAAAUUUCUGGUCAAAUACAACCCUGUAAAAUAGUUUAUGUUUUAUUUAUUUUAUUUUAAAAGCUUGAGAUCUCUGGAAGAGAACUGAAUGCUGCAAUGAUUAACAGACCUAAGUAAUUGGACUGGCCUAAGAAAAGUUUCCUGCUCUUGCCUGCUCUCUUCAAAAGUACUUUCAGCCAAUAGAGCCUGUUUUCCUGCAUUUAUGGAUCAUUGCUCCUAUUUCAUAGGAGACAGUAGGGAAAUGAAAGUGUGCUGAGAUCAUGGGGCAGUAGAACUCAGCACAAAGACCAAUUUAUUUCUAUUUUUAAUAGCUAUGGGGAAUGUCACAACAUCUGUUCUUUGUGACUAUGGAUAGCAUUUGGUCAACCUGCCAGUUUGUGAUUAUUGCAUUGUACAGACAAGAAUGAGCAUCACACGAUUUCAGACAUAUGGAAGGUGCCUGUUGGGAUGAAUUUCAAUCUGAGUUAUAGGAUUGAGCCAAAAAUUCACAGUGAAUCAUUUAUAUGACAAAUUUGGGUUCCCUUCUGCCUGUGGGAUAUUCUGUCCAUCUUUCUGAUUCCUUAAAUAUGAUAUGGGAUUUCUUUCUUACAAAUAUAUGAGUAAUUCCCAAGAGUUCUUUGGGCACAAAUGAAAGGUCUGGGGCUCUCCUCCGGCUUUGCCUUUGUGAUUGAACAUUCUUGCACACCGGGGCAAAAUAAUUAUAAUAGAUGUCUAUGUGGUUGCUCUUUCAUGUCAUUGUCACCCUGCUGUGUUAUCACAGAAAAAGCUGACCUAGCCUGUGGUGUACAGUUUGUAAAGAAGGAAUCUAGGUAGCCCUUACAAUCUCAGAUCUCUUGGUGCCUUGUUUCCUCCUAGCUUUAAAAUGAAGACAACACCUGUCAUGCACGGAUCACAGGUCAUUUUCUAUGGAGAUAGGUGCUGCAGAAAUGCUUUAUGUCUUACUUAGGAUGGGCAAUGAUUGGAUUGAAAAUCACAUUGUAUUGGUAUUGUUUCUGCACUGCAUGACUAUACCCACAUCCAGCUCUGCUGGUCACAGCACUGCAACAGGAAAGGGAGGUUUGGGUUCUCCUCAAGUUCUGCUAGUGUGUUCAUCCUGAUUUCUUCAUUUCCACCCAGCAGGCUCGCAAAGCAACAGCUCCUUCUCCUGCGAGACUGGCAUGAUAUUUCUCAGUCAUUUCAGGUGUUAGUUCUGUAUUUAUUUUUCAUGUAUUGGAGUGACAUUAACUUUCCUAUUCUAUUUUAUGCCUUUGGCAGCACUGUCAUGCAGUUCCCACCUUGGCAUAGUUCUUGCCAGCAAGAACUUUUUAUUGGCAAUUUCAAGUAGCGAAGAACAUUUGUAUCUGGAGAGGAGGUUCCCUUCUGCACCUGACAAUUACCAUACUACAUGUAAAACCCAUUAAUUCACACUAUUCAGCAUCAUAUAUUCAACUCUCUACAGAUCUCAUUGCUUUUAUGUGCACCUCUGGGCCUUCCUUUUAGUGGGAGAGAUGGGAGGCAGAAUUGUACUGAAAUUAUGGUCAAACACAGUCAUGCUUCCUCUCCCCAGUUAGACAGAAUUCGGCCCAAAGCUUGAAAAUGGGAGAGGCUCAUAUUGCCAUCCCUUGGUGAUGCUGUAAAGUUGUUCCCUGAGGAGUUACUCCUGAUUUUGGAUGCAGCACUGUGCUCUGAUCUGAGCAUGGUGUGAAAGGGAUCAGCCCACCCUCUUAUGGAUUGCUUUUCCUUUCCUCUUCCUACGAUCCUCUGGUGUAAUAUUUCUAAGCCUCCAUCUACCAAAACACACCUUUCAAAGACAAGAACAAGUAAAGACUUCUAAAAAGCUAUAGCUAAACCUAGACAGGCACACAGUUUUCCUGGUGGCUCUGAAAGGGCAGUAAUUGGAAUCAACAGUGGGAUGGCAAGAUGGGGACUAGUGCUGGGGAUAGGCUGGGGUGAUGGUCUCUUAGACCAUGUCAGCUGCAGCCAGUACAGUGUGUCCAGUAGAGACAUUAUGUAGCAUGAGGUAGAGGACCCAGACUGGAGAUCACGGGGACCUUAAUUCCUCUUGUUAGCCCCAGACUUUGCCUGAUGGGUAGAUGCCCACUGCAGCUGACCUGCCCAUCCCAUCUCCAUUAGCGUUCUGGUGCUUGAUUGAUUCAGCACUGGUUUAUGCCUUUAUACAAUUAAUUUCAUUUUUCUUGGCAUCUGAAUGACUUUUUUCUCCCCAGACCUUCAUUUAAUGUUCAUCUUCCCACAGACAGAUUAAUAGUGUGCUCUAAUAACAGAUAAGUGGUGUAGUAAAUACCCUUGGGUCUUGUUACCAUUCCAGAACUUACUGUUAAGGAAUGUGGCCCCAAAUGUGCUGGCAAAUGAAAGUAAUUAGUCAUAGCCCAUUUCAGACAACUGCUCUAUGCUGUGCUCUCUUUGUGCACUUAGCAACACAUGUGGCCAGCACAAAUUACUGGUGAGGUCCUUUUUCAAGCAGAGAGUCUGACUGGAGCUGGUGGUCUCACCAUGCCAUUUCCUAAUACCUAGUGUUCUUAGUGUGCUUGGUGUACAAAUUUCUCUCAUUCUGGGGAAACAGGCUGGUGCUUUAACUCGUAAAUAAAAUGCUAUGGUGUGGUGUGAAAGCUGAGGAGAAACUGUGAUGUGUGCUGGAAGUUGCCUCCCUUCACUCUUACCUACUCUUUACAUAAUCUAGGGAACCUGUUUUAGCAGGGGGUUGGACUAGAUGAUCUCUAGAGUUUCCUUCCAGCCCCCACAGUUCUGUGAUUCCUAUAUUUUCUGUGAAAUCUGAGCUCUGCAAUGGGACAGUGAUGCUUCUUGGUUCCUUUGGAAGAUGGUGGCUACUUGCAUGGAAACUAAAUUAGAAUGUUGUUAUAAUUGAUUUCAUAAUCAAUUAAAGUAAAUUAUUUUUACGCUCUGCACUGCCAUCUUUUUUUUUUUUUUU